rnacentral:misc_RNA from 1 species
ACCCAACAUUCCGUUCAUAGAUGUUAAUUUUUAUAAUGCAGCCAGGGUCAAAACUUUCAAAAAGAAUAUAUUCAUACUGAAUGGGAACUUUAGAUUCUCUGUCUAACAAUUGAUGGGUACCAAAUCCUUUUCAACUUCCUAUUUUUUGUAGAAAAAAUUUAGAAACAUCAGUUAAAAACUUGGAAUGGCCUUUGCCCGUAUGAACUGUUUGAGGAUGGCUUUCUCUUCAUCAAUUCGUUUCUUCUCCUGCUGGUCCUUGGGCUUGACUUUUCUUUUCUCUUCCAAUAUCCACUUGAAAAGCUCACGCUGCUGAUCUUCAGGUAUGGUCUGCUUUGCUUUUAGAACAGCUGGAGCAGGGGACGGAGUCUCAGGAACUGAGAGAGUAGUUGAAUCCAAGAAAUCUUCCUCUGGGGCUUUGCUUUCUUCCACAUCCUUUUUUGCAGUUUUCCUUUCUUCUAUGUUCAAAUUUUUCUUCCUUGCCUUUGCAAACAUAUAAGCUGCAAGUAGUUCAAAAGAGUCACAGUAUUCUUAUUUCCGUUUUUUGUGAUUAGCAUAUUAUCUGUCAAGUUAUUGGGUCUGAGACACUUUAAAUGUCGAGCUGGAUCAUUGACUCAGAUUAUCCAAAACUAUAUGAGAAAAUUUUAACUAUGCAGCUGACCGAAAUUUUGACACAUGAAUGGCCACAAUAUUUAAAAUUUAAAUAUCACAAAAUUUAAUUGCAGAUUUGAACCAUCAUAUUCGACUCCAGCAAUGAUGAAGAUGAAAAACAAAAAAAAUGAAAAAAACUGAAGAUUGCCCUUCAAUGAUGACCCAAGUACCCAACUAAUAAAGAACCUCUAGUUCUGACUCAAUACAUUGCAGCCCGCAUCUGUUAGAGGAGUAAAAAGAAGCAAAUAAACUUGGUUUUGGCACAGAUGGCACAUAUUGUGAACCACUGAUGAACUUCAAUGAUGCCAACUCUACCAUAAUGAACACGUCAACCUCCAAGUAUGACUGAAUUCCUUUUACUCAUUAACUUACCCCUUCAAUCAUUGAGCAGCAUACUGCUCCAAUCAGAAGAGGGGAAAAAGUGCUAUAAAUAAUGGGAACAUUAAAAAGUUAAUCAUCAGGUGCAAAUAGGUGAAAGCGCAUGGCAGCUAUGCACUUCUAUCUGAGAAAUGUGAGAUCGAUUGCAUACUUUUCUUGGUAAAGGUGAUUAAAAGCUCAAUAUCAAAUUAUCAAUAGCCUAAAAACAAGUGGAGCUGAACUCAAUGUUGGCAGUAGACAACAGUCUUUAUUCCAGAAAGCCAACAACAGAACAGAUUUUGGGCAAUCCUUAGAUCAUGGUUUGAUAGACAUAAUUAAAGUAGGACUCCCAUGAUUAAGUACAAACUUCAUCAAAUUCAGAUCCUAAAGUCACAUUUCCAAGGUUCAUAAAAAAUCAUAAUCAAGGCAACAGGUGUAACAACUAAGGCCAAAACCAAGUUUCCAACUGUCCCCAUUAGUAUUGCCCUUUCAGAAAAGAUUCAUUUAAAUACCUGGAAUUCAGGUAGUGUAAUCUUUUAUUAACCUAACCCAAUAAAUGCAUUUCCUAAACUUCAGUAUAUGCAAACUACCACUUCUAUGCUUACAUAGAAACAAACAAAGCAAAAUAGACGCCAAACAAGUAGCAUUCAAGAAAAAUCUACGCUAAAGUAUUAAAAAGGAAAACUAAAAAUCAUUGCACUCUAACAAACAUUAUAUCCUUGAUCCCCAAUUAACCUCCAAGUAAGCAUUCGUCCGAAUCCACAUAUCAAACAUAUUAUCGACAAAACUAAAAACCAAAGAAUAAUUUACAAUUAACUAAAAGAAACAAGAUAGACGGUAAUGAAAACCAAACAAAAAUGAAAGAAAACGAAACAGGAAAAGGGUGGGGCUGACCUCCAAGAGCGAGAUUAGAGAUCAAUAGAAUACGCCAAAUAGGCUUGUAACGCUUAAUUAGCGAUUCCUUUGGAGACAAAUUUGGGUAUGGAGAUUCAGCAGCUUCCAUUCUGAUCAAUGCUCUAAUGAUGAUUUGAUGAGGGUGCUGCUUCUUGCGGGCUUGCUUGGUUGCUCGCAGUUGCAGGUGUUACUGCUCGUAAAAGUAAUGCACUCUCGAUUGCGAAAGUGAACCAAGGAAGCUCCUUUGGCUGCUCCUCCCCUCCCUCCCUGGUUGGGUUGUGGAUUUUUGCUGCUUUUUGCUGAUUGGCUCCAACACCAUUAAUAAAUCAACUAAUUAACACAAACCCAAGUUGAUUAUAUCUUUUAAAUAAACUCAAGAAAAUUGUAGAAGUUCCAUAGGGUUGUUGUCUUUGGACCUUGCCUU